GGGGAAUCUUGGACAAUGGGGGGAACCCUGAUCCAGCCAUUCCGCGUGUGCGAUGAAGGCCUUCGGGUUGUAAAGCACUUUUGGCAGGGAAGAAAUUGCGCGGGCUAAUACCCUGCGUGGAUGACGGUACCUGCAGAAUAAGCACCGGCUAACUACGUGCCAGCAGCCGCGGUAAUACGUAGGGUGCAAGCGUUAAUCGGAAUUACUGGGCGUAAAGGGUGCGCAGGCGGCUCGGAAAGAAAGAUGUGAAAUCCCAGGGCUCAACCUUGGAACUGCAUUUUUAACUACCGGGCUAGAGUGUGUCAGAGGGAGGUGGAAUUCCGCGUGUAGCAGUGAAAUGCGUAGAUAUGCGGAGGAACACCGAUGGCGAAGGCAGCCUCCUGGGAUAACACUGACGCUCAGGCACGAAAGCGUGGGGAGCAAAC
rnacentral:rRNA from 1 species